rnacentral:tRNA from 1 species
GCGUUAGCUAUGGUUUCUCCUAAGCUUCUGCUUUCUUGGAAAAUCAAAUGUUCCGGUGCUAAACACCAAAGAG